GGACUGUGUGCCUUUCUCUCUGGAGGGCCUGCGAGUCUCAUUAUGUGUCCUUCAUUCUGAUUGGGUCCCAUGGUCAUUCAUAAACCAAUUGUUGUGCUCUGAUUGGUCAGCUGCCCUUUCCUAGUGCUUGGGGGUGGGGUCAGCUCUACCUGAAGCACUGGGACCCGGGCAGAGAGAAGCCUCCCCUGAGGAAUAUCAAGGCGCUGUUGCCUGGAGGGGAAAGUGGUUGCUGGGCAGCAAUACAACAGGUAUCUAUUGUACCAGCAUUUGUAUUGUACUUUUCAGUGUGUGCCUGGGGCACGUUAUUCCAGCAAGCCACUGUGAUCUGUGAGCUAUUUCUGGAAUGCUUUUGCUUCCUCUUCUCUUUCAGGUCUUAAGUAUCAUCCUCCCUGAACACCCUUUUAAAUCUCGUAAUCUCCUUCUACUUCUCUGCAUACUAUUUCCCUUCCUUGCCUUUGUUUUUCCUUAGAGCUUAGCACAUAUUAUUUUACUUAUUUAUUUUCUUUUUAGUGUCUCCUAUUGAAAUGUAAACUCCAGCUAUAAAUGGUGGUGCUUACCUGUAACCCCAGGCAGCUAGGGAGGCUGAGAUAGGAGGAUCACAAAUUUGAUGUCAGCCCUAGCAACUUAAGGGGAUCCUGUCUCAAAAUUUAAACAUAAAUGAAAAGGGUUGUGAGUGUAGUUCAGUGAUAGAACACCCCUGGGUUCAAUCCCCAGUACCGCCACACACACCGGAAGAAGAAGGAGAAGGAGAAAGGAAAACAGCUUCAUGGGGUAGGAACUUUUGUUCAUUUUGGCCCCUGCUACAUCUUCUGUACCUGAAACAAUGCCUGGCACAUAGUAGGUACUCAAUAAAUGAUUGAAUGAAUGCGUGUGCACAGCCAUCCUGUGAAGUAGGUAGGAUGAAGGUAGCUCUCCUGUUAAAGAGCCCUGAGACUUGAGAGAAAGAUCCUGUUGGCACAAAGACUUAAAAAAAGAAGUUUAAAAACUAAUUGUUAAGUGUUAAUGAGAAAACAACAGAGGGGAACUUUGUGCAUUAUACUGUGUUCCCACCAAGUGAAGGUUAAAUGAUGCCCUGAUAUAGUGGUUCAAAUAGAGAAAGUGGUAGGAGACUUGAGUCAUCUGGCACGUGGUAUUACAUCCCGUGCAAAGACCCACCUGUUCCAUCACAGUCAGACCUAAACGGGAGAAGCAAUUUAGUUUCAGCAAAUAGC
rnacentral:lncRNA from 1 species